CCUACGGGAGGCAGCAGUGGGGAAUAUUGCGCAAUGGGCGAAAGCCUGACGCAGCGACGCAGCGUGCGGGAUGAAGGUCUUCGGAUCGUAAACCUCUGUCAGCAGGGAAGAACGGUCACUGUGCUAAUCAGCAGUGAAUUGACGGUACCUGCAAAGGAACCACCUGCUAACUCCGUGCCAGCAGCCGCGGUAAUACGGAGGGUGCGGGCGUUAAUCGGAAUUACUGGGAGUAAAGCGAUCGUAGGCGGUAUGUCAAGUCAAGGGUGAAAUCCCCGCGCUCAACGUGGGAAGUGCCUUUGAAACUGGAAAACUGGAGUGGGUGAGAGGAUAGUGGAAUUCAAGGUGUAGCAGUGAAAUCCGUAGAUAUCUGGAGGAACAUCAGUGGCGAAGGCGAGUAUCUGGCACAUAACUGACGCUGAGGAGCGAAAGCGUGGGUAGCAAACAGGAUUAGAUACCCUUGUAGUC
rnacentral:rRNA from 1 species